rnacentral:tRNA from 1 species
AAGCCCCAGUGUGUCACACAUCUUUAGAUUUGCAAUCCAAUGUAAUUUUAUACUAUAAAGCC